rnacentral:rRNA from 1 species
UGGGGAAUCUUGCGCAAUGCGCGAAAGCGUGACGCAGCAACGCCGCGUGGGGGAAGAAGGCCUUCGGGUUGUAAACCCCUUUCAGUUGGGACGAAGCUUCCUCGGUGAAUAGCCGUGUGGAGUGACGGUACCUUCACAAGAAGCCCCGGCUAACUACGUGCCAGCAGCCGCGGUAAUACGUAGGGGGCUAGCGUUGUCCGGAAUCAUUGGGCGUAAAGCGCGUGUAGGCGGCCCGGUAAGUCCGCUGUGAAAGUCGGGGGCUCAACCCUCGGAUGCCGGUGGAUACUGUCGGGCUAGAGUGCGGAAGAGGCGAGUGGAAUUCCUGGUGUAGCGGUGAAAUGCGCAGAUAUCAGGAGGAACACCAAUUGCGAAGGCAGCUCGCUGGGACGUGACUGACGCUGAGACGCGAAAGCGUGGGGAGCAAACGAGGAUUAGGAUACCCUGGUAGUCCACGCCGUAAACGAUGAGUGCUAAGUGUUAGAGGGUUUCCGCCCUUUAG